rnacentral:rRNA from 1 species
CAGUCGCCGCGGGAAUACAGAGGGUGCGAGCGUUAAUCGGAUUUACUGGGCGUAAAGCGUGCGUAGGCGGCUUCUUAAGUCGGAUGUGAAAUCCCUGAGCUUAACUUAGGAAUUGCAUUCGAUACUGGGAAGCUAGAGUAUGGGAGAGGAUGGUAGAAUUCCAGGUGUAGCGGUGAAAUGCGUAGAGAUCUGGAGGAAUACCGAUGGCGAAGGCAGCCAUCUGGCCUAAUACUGACGCUGAGGUACGAAAGCAUGGGGAGCAAACAGGAUUAGAUACCCGUGUAGUCCCUGUCUCUAUACC